rnacentral:rRNA from 1 species
GACGAACGCUGGCGGCGUGCCUAAUACAUGCAAGUCGAACGCACAGUUUAUACCGUAGCUUGCUACACCAUAGACUGUGAGUUGCGAACGGGUGAGUAACGCGUAGGUAACCUGCCUGGUAGCGGGGGAUAACUAUUGGAAACGAUAGCUAAUACCGCAUAAUAUUAAUUAUUGCAUGAUAAUUAAUUGAAAGGUGCAAUUGCACCACUACCAGAUGGACCUGCGUUGUAUUAGCUAGUAGGUGAGGUAACGGCUCACCUAGGCGACGAUACAUAGCCGACCUGGAAGGGUGAUCGGCCACACUGGGACUGAGACACGGCCCAGACUCCUACGGGAGGCAGCAGUAGGGAAUCUUCGGCAAUGGACGAAAGUCUGACCGAGCAACGCCGCGGGAGUGAAGAAGGUUUUCGGAUCGUAAAGCUCUGUUGUAAGAGAAGAACGGGUGUGAGAGUGGAAAGUUCACACUGUGACGGUAUCUUACCAGAAAGGGACGGCUAACUACGUG